AUUGAACGCUGGCGGCAUGCUUUACACAUGCAAGUCGAACGGUAACAGGCCGCAAGGUGCUGACGAGUGGCGAACGGGUGAGUAAUGCAUCGGAACGUGCCCAGUCGUGGGGGAUAACUACUCGAAAGAGUAGCUAAUACCGCAUACGAUCUAUGGAUGAAAGCGGGGGACCGUAAGGCCUCGCGCGAUUGGAGCGGCCGAUGUGAGAUUAGGUAGUUGGUGGGGUAAAGGCUCACCAAGCCAACGAUCUGUAGCUGGUCUGAGAGGACGACCAGCCACACUGGGACUGAGACACGGCCCAGACUCCUACGGGAGGCAGCAGUGGGGAAUUUUGGACAAUGGGCGCAAGCCUGAUCCAGCAAUGCCGCGUGCAGGAAGAAGGCCUUCGGGUUGUAAACUGCUUUUGUACGGAACGAAACGGCUCUGGUUAAUACCCGGGGCUAAUGACGGUACCGUAAGAAUAAGCACCGGCUAACUACGUG
rnacentral:rRNA from 1 species